rnacentral:rRNA from 1 species
GAUGAACGCUGGCGGCGUGCCUAAUACAUGCAAGUCGAGCGAACGGACGAGAAGCUUGCUUCUCUGAUGUUAGCGGCGGACGGGUGAGUAACACGUGGAUAACCUACCUAUAAGACUGGGAUAACUUCGGGAAACCGGAGCUAAUACCGGAUAAUAUCUUGAACCGCAUGGUUCAAAAGUGAAAGACGGUCUUGCUGUCACUUAUAGCUGGAUCCGCGCUGCAUUAGCUAGUUGGUAAGGUAACGGCUUACCAAGGCAACGAUGCAUAGCCGACCUGAGAGGGUGGUCGGCCGCACUGGACCAGAGACGCGGUCCAGACUCCUACGGGAGGCAGCAGUAGGGAAUCUUCCGCAAUGGGCGAAAGCCUGACGGAGCAACGCCGCGUGAGUGAUGAAGGUCUUAGGAUCGUAAAACUCUGUUAGUAGGGAAGAACAGAUGUGUAAGUAACUGUGCACAUCUUGACGGUACCUGAUCAGAAAGCCACGGCUAACUACGUG